rnacentral:rRNA from 1 species
UACGAAGGGGGCUAGCGUUGCUCGGAAUCACUGGGCGUAAAGGGUGCGUAGGCGGGUCUUUAAGUCAGGGGUGAAAUCCUGGAGCUCAACUCCAGAACUGCCUUUGAUACCGAGGAUCUUGAGUUCGGAAGAGGUGAGUGGAACUGCGAGUGUAGAGGUGAAAUUCGUAGAUAUUCGCAAGAACACCAGUGGCGAAGGCGGCUCACUGGCCCGAUACUGACGCUGAGGCACGAAAGCGUGGGGAGCAAACAGG